rnacentral:rRNA from 1 species
AGAGUUUGAUCCUGGCUCAGAAUCAACGCUGGCGGCGUGCCUAACACAUGCAAGUCGAACGAGAAAGGGGAGCAAUCCCUGAGUAAAGUGGCGCACGGGUGAGUAACACGUGACUAACCUACCCUUGAGUGGGGGAUAACCUAGGGAAACCUGGGCUAAUACCGCAUAAUACCUACGGGUCAAAGGAGCAAUUCGCUCGAGGAGGGGGUCGCGGCCGAUUAGUUAGUUGGCGGGGUAAUGGCCCACCAAGACGAUGAUCGGUAUCCGGCCUGAGAGGGCGCACGGACACACUGGAACUGAAACACGGUCCAGACUCCUACGGGAGGCAGCAGUGGGGAAUUUUGCGCAAUGGGGGAAACCCUGACGCAGCAACGCCGCGUGGAGGAUGAAGUACUUCGGUACGUAAACUCCUUUCGAUCGGGACGAUUAUGACGGUACCGAGAGAAGAAGCCCCGGCUAACUUCGUGCCAGCAGCCGCGGUAAUACGAGGGGGGCGAGCGUUGUUCGGAAUUAUUGGGCGUAAAGGGUGCGUAGGCGGUUUGGUAAGUCUUGUGUGAAAUCUAUGGGCUCAACUCAUAGUCUGCACGAGAAACUGCCGGGCUUGAGUGUGGGAGAGGUGAGUGGAAUUCCCGGUAUAGCGGUGAAAUGCGUAGAUAUCGGGAGGAACACCUGUGGCGAAAGCGGCUCACUGGACCACAACUGACGCUGAUGCACGAAAGCUAGGGGAGCAAACAGGAUUAGAUACCCUGGUAGUCCUAGCCCUAAACGAUGACUGCUUGGUGUGACGGGUACCCAAUCCCGCCGUGCCGUAGCUAACGCGUUAAGCAGUCCGCCUGGGGAGUACGUCGCAAGGCUGAAACUCAAAGGAAUUGACGGGGGCCCGCACAAGCGGUGGAGCAUGUGGUUUAAUUC